rnacentral:rRNA from 1 species
UGGGGAAUAUUGCACAAUGGGCGCAAGCCUGAUGCAGCCAUGCCGCGUGUAUGAAGAAGGCCUUCGGGCUGUAAAGUACUUUCAGCGAGGAGGAAGGCGUUGUGGUUAAUAACCGCAACGAUUGACGUUACUCGCAGAAGAAGCACCGGCUAACUCCGUGCCAGCAGCCGCGGUAAUAAGGAGGGUGCAAGCGUUAAUCGGAAUUACUGGGCGUAAAGCGCACGCAGGCGGUCUGUCAAGUCGGAUGUGAAAUCCCCGGGCUCAACCUGGGAACUGCAUCCGAAACUGGCAGGCUAGAGUCUUGUAGAGGGGGGUAGAAUUCCAGGUGUAGCGGUGAAAUGCGUAGAGAUCUGGAGGAAUACCGGUGGCGAAGGCGGCCCCCUGGACAAAGACUGACGCUCAGGUGCGAAAGCGUGGGGAGCAAACA